CCUACGGGAGGCUGCAGUGGGGAAUAUUGGGCAAUGGGCGCAAGCCUGACCCAGCAACGCCGCGUGAAGGAAGAAGGCUUUCGGGUUGUAAACUUCUUUUUUUAGGGACGAAGAAAGUGACGGUACUUGAGGAUUAAGCACCGGUUAACUCCGUGCCAGCAGCCGCGGCAAUACGUCGGUGGCAAGCGUUCGCCGGAUUUACUGGGUGUAAAGGGCGUGUAGGCGGGAAAGCAAGUCAGAUGUGAAAACCAUGGGUUCAACCGGUGGUCUGCAUUUGAAACUGUUUUUCUUGAGUACUGGAGAGGCAGACGGAAUUCCUAGUGUAGCGGUGAAAUGCGUAGAUAUAAGGAGGAACACCAGUGGCGAAGGCGG
rnacentral:rRNA from 1 species